rnacentral:tRNA from 1 species
GGUAACUAUAGUUUAGUGGUAAAAUUAUCGUAUGUGGCACGAUUAACCUGAGUUCAAUUCUCAGUAGUUAUC